rnacentral:lncRNA from 1 species
UCUUUAUUUAUAGCUCGCUUUGUACUUUCAAUCACCAUGAUGCUCCCUCUCAAGUUCUUAAUUUCUUAACUGGAACUGUUACUCUCAAAUAUGCAAGCAACACAAGAAAUGGCAAUUUGAGAAAAAAAACCAAAAAUGACAACACAGAAUGACCUCUAACUGGUGCCUCACUCCUAUUCUCUUAUUAAUGGUGAACAUGACAACAUGUUACCCAUACUGUCUGUUUCUCACCUCCAUCCCAUCUAACACAUUAAUAAUUACUAACUAUCCUUUUAGCCGCCUC